GGCGGGUGUUGUGGAGGGUGCGGAUGGCGCUGCCCGAGCAGCGGGGGCCGCAGGGUGUUCGUCAGGGCAACGCCGGGCACUUUGAGGUUUUCUCCUAAGAUCUUGAACUUUGGUGUGAAAUCCUGGCUUUACUUCGGUCACUGAAAAUCAGUCCAGUUGACUUCAAAGAGAUUCAGAAACGGACAUCCGCUGACUGGAUCUGCCUAGGGUGAAGAAGAACACACAACACUUAAAUACAAAGCUUCUUCCUCUAAGUAACUACACUGUCAUGUAUCCCUAAGUUAUAUGCAGGGGAAGGCUCUGAAACCCUGUUUGAGAAGCUUCUUGCAUAGUAUUUAAAAUGUUAUGAACAUCUUUAUAAAUAUCAUUAUGAGGAAAAAUUGAUGAUUCUACUUCUGAACUCUGAUCCCAUCUCCCUUAAGGGAGCACAAACAGAGCUGGAGGAAAAAAGAUUGAGCGAAGUAACAGAAAAUGCAGCCUUUGUCUGUGACUGCCAUGGAAGACUAAGCUGUUUCGAAAGUAAAGCCAGACAACACAGCUUUAGCAGCCACUUCAUGACCUGGCAAAGCAUUAUGCUACUGAAAAACUUGUUUCUCCUUUGCUCUUUUACUCCAGGCUCUCACCCAGGAAAGAAAAGGGUGGAGUUCUUUUACUGG